UCCCCGGCCCGUCGGUCCCCGAGGCGCCGGCGGGCUGGCCAAAGGUCACCGGUGCAGACGGGGGCCACGGGCGGCCCCUCACCACCCGCUCGGGCUCUGCCUGGGGCCUCCUCCGACCGCAGCCCGCCUGUGCGCGCCGCCGAGACCGCUGGUGCGGUGUGACCCCCUUCCCUCCCGGGACCCCCCAGCUACCCCGCUGUCCCCGGGUUCUGGCCGCCGACAUCCAGCCCAAGCUGACACGGCCCCCGCCGCGCUCCCCGCUUGCUGUGCUUGGCUUUGGAGCGCUUUUCUGUGCGUGACACCUAUUUGUUUUUCCUGAGAUUGAUUUAUUGAAAGGCAGAGUGGCAGAGAUCUUUCAUCCGUAGAUUCACUCGUCAAAUGCCUGCAACACCCGGGGCUGAGCCAGGCGCAAGCCAGGAGCCAGGGACUCAGGGUCACCCGUGUGGGUGGCAGGGGCUCAAGGGCUUGAACUAUCAGGAAGCUGGCGUGGAAGGGGAGUCGCCGGAGCUCGAACCAGGCGCUCCGAUGCGGGAUGCGGGCAUCACCGCUCGCCUCACCUGCCGCACCGCAGCGCCCACCCCAUUAACUCAUUAACUGUCCUUGUCACCGACUGGAGUGCUCCAUGGGGGCGGGGACUGUGAAAGAACCGUCCCGGAAGGAGCGAGUGGGCAGAGAACUUCCCGCGUGGGGGACCCCGCACCGGGCGUCCCGCAGCAACCCAGUGGCCAACCCUGCGAAGCUGGUUUGUGGAGAGCCGCACAGCCUACUCCAGCGUUACAGACGCGAGACAGGCACCCUGCUGCCCCCGCGCGGGUGCCGAACCCUGUUCUCCCCAGGCACCUGCAGUCGGCCUCCAUCCAGGCUGCAGUGGCGGCCACGGCGCUUUUCUUUGUCCCCGCCAGGCUCCGCACUGUGGUGCAGCCGCAGUCCUGGGACGUGGGUCCCGGGCUCAGACGCAGACGCGGCGCGGGACAGCAGCGGAGACAGGGCGGAGCCCCAGGAGCCAGGGUGCCCGUCCCGCCCCGGGACCACGGGGGAGCAGCUCUGGGCCGAGCCCCGCACCCUGCGUGAGGAAGCUGCUCGUCCGGGAACUUUGGAGCUGUGUGACCGCAGGGAGCCGUCCUUCGGCUGCAGGAUGAGCGGCCAGAGCCCCCGCCCUGGCCUGGCAGAAUUACUAAGAGCAAGAGGGAGAGAGAGAGAUCUUCGAUCCCAAGUGGUGCUGGUUUGGGUCCUGGCUGCUCCACGUCUGGUCCGACUUCCUUCCGAUGGCCUGGGAAGGCAGGGGAGGUGA
rnacentral:lncRNA from 1 species